CCUACGGGAGUCAGCAGUGAGGAAUAUUGGUCAAUGGACGCAAGUCUGAACCAGCCAUGCCGCGUGCAGGAAGACGGCUCUAUGAGUUGUAAACUGCUUUUGUACGAGGGUAAACGCAGAUACGCGUAUCUGUCUGAAAGUAUCUUACGAAUAAGGAUCGGCUAACUCCGUGCCAGCAGCCGCGGUAAUACGGAGGAUUCAAGCGUUAUCCGGAUUUAUUGGGUUUAAAGGGUGCGUAGGCGGUCGGAUAAGUUAGAGGUGAAAUUCCGAGGCUCAACUUCGGAAUUGCCUCUGAUACUGUUCGGCUAGAGAGUAGUUGAGGUAGGCGGAAUGUAUGGUGUAGCGGUGAAAUGCUUAGAGAUCAUACAGAACACCGAUUGCGAAGGCAGCUUACCAAGCUACUUCUGACGUUGAGGUACGAAAGCGUGGGGAGCAAACAGGAUUAGAUACCCCGGUAGUC
rnacentral:rRNA from 1 species